CCCUCCCCUACCGUGGUGCGGACUGCAGUAUUAGCGGUCUCCUUGGAGUCCUGAAGCAGCUCAAGGGCAUCGUCCUUGGAAAAGAUGGUUCUGUUAGAUAAAUGUCUUCCCAAGUUAAAGGCACAUGGCUCCGAAGUACUAAUAUUCUCUGAGGGGCACCAUAACAUAUGAAAAUUUUGAAGAGCUUUGUGAAGAUUUGUGGGAGCAGCUCCGACUCCAAUUAAAGAAGUUCCACGCAGCGGGCAUGAAGAUUGGUCACAUCUAUAUGUUUAGUUGUGCUGCAGGACAUGUGCUAUUCUGAAAAUGGAGCUUCUCUAUUGGAUGGCAGCUCAUGAUGGUAGUUUCAGAUAUGAAGCUAAGGAAAGCGUGCCUCAUAAUUCAUUAGAUGUAUCCCAGUAGGGCCAAUUAGAUAUUGUUGGUUGUAAAUGACAUGAGUUUUUAGCUUUCAUAAAAUCUAGAUUUGUACUCUUUAACAAUAAGCUGUG